rnacentral:SRP_RNA from 1 species
AGGCAGGGAGGAUCGGGGCGCCAGCCGUGCCCCAAUACUGGAAAUCGGCUUUAUGCCAGGAUCAGUAACUGCCGGGUAAAUCCGCCGGCGGGAGGUACCCGCUUGUCCUGCUGAAAUGAAAUCAUGCCGUGCUGGAUGGUUAUGAGCGGCGAUCUACGCGAAGGCGGAGUCUCGACCGCAAAUCGCCGAAAUGGGUGAGGUCCGGGAGGGAGCAACCCUAAGGCGUCAUAACCCUGCUG